rnacentral:tRNA from 1 species
GUUAAAAUAAUUUAAAAAUUAAAAUAUUGAUUUUGUAAAUCAAACUUGAAAUUAUUCUUUUAACA